CCUACGGGCGGCAGCAGUGGGGAAUAUUGCACAAUGGGGGAAACCCUGAUGCAGCGACGCCGCGUGAGUGAAGAAGGAUUUCGGUAUGUAAAGCUCUAUCAGCAGGGAAGAGAAUGACGGUACCUGAGUACGAAGCACCGGCUAACUACGUGCCAGCAGCCGCGGUAAUACGUAGGGGGCAAGCGUUAUCCGGAUUUACUGGGUGUUAAGGGAGCGUAGACGGCGAAGAAAGUCUGAAGUGAAAGCCCGCGGCUCAACCGCGGAACUGCUUUGGAAACUGUUGUGCUGGAGUACCGGAGAGGUAAGCGGAAUGCGUAGUGUAGCGGUGAAAUGCGUAGAUAUUAGGAGGAACACCAGUGGCGAAGGCGGCUUACUGGACGGUAACUGACGUUGAGGCUCGAAAGCGUGGGGAGCAAACAGGAUUAGAUACCCUUGUAGUC
rnacentral:rRNA from 1 species